rnacentral:rRNA from 1 species
GAUGAACGCUGACAGAAUGCUUAACACAUGCAAGUCGAUGGGGAAGUGGUGCUUGCACCAUGGCAACCAUGGCGGACGGGUGAGUAACGCGUAAGGGACUUACCUGCAGGACUGGGAUAACAGGGGGAAACUCCUGACAAGACCGGAUAAUGUCAUGGAGCUGCAUGGCUUUAUGAUGAAAGGAGACGCCUGCGGAGAGCCUUGCGUCCUAUUAGCUAGUUGGUGAGGUAAUGGCUCACCAAGGCGAAGAUAGGUAGCCGGCCUGAGAGGGUGGACGGCCACAAGGGGACUGAGAUACGGCCCUUACUCCUACGGGAGGCAGCAGUGGGGAAUACUGGACAAUGGGGGCAAUCCUGAUCCAGCAAUUCUGUGUGCACGAAGAAGGUUUUCGGAGUGUAAAGUGCUUUCAGCAGGGAAGAAGUAAGUGACGGUACCUGCAGAAGAAGCGACGGCUAAAUACGUG